AUGGCGGAAGGAGCUGCCUCCUCCUCCUCCUCCUCCACAGCCAGUGGGUCCAGUGGAGCAGCUCCACCACAGACGAUCCCCGUCAAGUCCAAAGGUCUGGGCCUCCUCGGGAAGCUGAAAGUGUCCGCGGAGCUGCUGGUGGCUCUGGCUGCUCUCCUGUCCUGGGUGGUGGUCGGAGUAGUGAUGUUUGACUUUGUGGAGUACAAGGCGGUCCCUGACAUUCAGCAAAUCGUUUCGGACCCCAUUGGAGCUGUAAACGACGCCGUCGAGGAAGCAUCAAGUCUACUCAAUAAGUUUCAGGAAUGUGCACCCGAUUUAAGUGACCCCACGUCCGCUGCCACCUACGUAGCUAAAGAAAUAUCUGAUGCAAAAGAUGGAUUUGUUCGCUAUUUUUCCGAUGAGGAAGGGAACUUCUACCUCAGCUAUGUUGACCCUGUGAUCAUCGGUAGACAAGCUUUCCAUUCGACCAAUGACUUAAUGCGUGGAGUCGUGGCCACCUUCAAGGACACAUUGUGCGCCAUUGUAGACUCCGCAUUAAAUACUAUAUCGGAUGUAAAUAAAGGAGAAGUUGACCUUAGCUGCAUUGACCCUGUGGUCGUAGGCCGAGGUGUCUUCAAUGUUACUAAUGGGUUUGUGUGUGGAGUGGGGAGCUACAUCCGGGAUGUGCUGUGUGCCCUUCUGGACACAAUUCUGGAUGUAGUGAAAGGAACCUCAGGAACCGUGGAUACUCCCUCCGUGGACCCUGUUGUAGUUGGCAGAAAUGUCUUCAGUCUUACAAAUGACACCGUGAGUAGACUAGUGGGCUACAUCCAGGACGUACUCUGUGCCAUCGUAGACAGUGUGCUGGAUUUAACUAAAGGAACCACCGACACAAGCUUCAUGGACCCUGUGGUUGUUGGUAGAAAUGUCUUCAGUGUUACUAAUGACUUUCUGAGUGGAAUAGCCGGAUACAUCCAGGAUGUGCUCUCUGCCGCCUUGGACGUGAUACUGGACACAGUAAAAUAUCUGCAGCAUGCUGUGGGAUUCAGCCCGACGUCAGCUCUAAAGAGAACAGCAGAAAUCAGCACAGAGCAGAUGAACACGCUUGUGAGCUACGUCUCCACGCUGAUUGGUCAACAAGACAUCAUGCCAGAAGUUUCCAUUGACCCCAUGAAAGUGGUUGAAGAUGCUCUGUUGGAGGCCUCGGACAAGAAAGAUUUGUUCGUGGCUUACAUGUCGAGCAUGCUUGUUGCUGAUCGAGAUGAAGCUGUAGCUCUCCCAUCUAAUUUGAAUAUGUUACGAAGAAAAGGAGAAUUUCUUCCGUCUUUGGGAAAAGUUACAGAGAUCAUGCAAGCUGCCAAAGAUGCUGCUGCUGCUUCUGCUGCUGAAGCCCCAGACUCAAAGAUCAAGGAGGAGGAUGGAGACGUUUCCACUGAAGCUGCCUACGAAGUGGACGUGGAGGAGGAGGAGGAUGUGAAACAUAUCAACCUUGAAGAAACAGAACAUGAACCACCAGCCAUCAAUGAAGGAGACAAGGUCGACAGAGAGGAGGAGGAACAUGAGGAGAUUCAAACAGAGGAGGAUGCGAUUUAUGAGGCGGAAGAAACAGAGGAUGCUGAAGGAGAAGAAGGUGGAGAUAUUAUUAAAACAGCCACUGAAGAAGAACAAGUAGAUGAACCAAGUGAGAAGCAGGAAGAGGAGAUCAAAGUUGAAGAUGUUUUGGCGAAAGAGGAGAAGGAAACACAUACAGAAGAGGAUGCAUUAAAAAAAAGAUUUGGUAGUGGAAGUGGAGGAGGAGACCAUAUCUGA
ensembl:lncRNA